AGCACUGUGGCGCAAUGGCAGCGCGCUGGGCCCAUAACCCAGAGGUUGUAAGUUCGAGCCUUACCGGUGCUA
rfam:Nematocida sp. JTm2807 1, whole genome shotgun sequence.